rnacentral:rRNA from 1 species
CCUACGGGUGGCAGCAGUGGGGGAUAUUGCACAAUGGGGGAAACCCUGAUGCAGCGACGCCGCGUGUGGGAAGACGGUCUUCUGGAUUGUAAACCACUGUCCCCAGGGACGAAAAUGACGGUACCUGGGGAGGAAGCUCCGGCUAACUACGUGCCAGCAGCCGCGGUAAUACGUAGGGAGCAAGCGUUGUCCGGAAUUACUGGGUGUAAAGGGAGCGUAGGCGGGGAUGCAAGUUGGGUGUCAAAACUACCGGCUCAACCGAUAGUCGCACUCAAAACUGCAGCUCUUGAGUGAAGUAGAGGCAGGCGGAAUUCCUAGUGUAGCGGGGAAAUGCGUAGAUAUUAGGAGGAACACCAGUGGCGAAGGCGGCCUGCUGGGCUUUUACUGACGCUGAGGCUCGAAAGUGUGGGGAGCAAACAGGAGUAGAUACCCGGGUAGUC